CCCUUAGAUGUUCUGGGCUGCACGCGCGCUACACUGAUGCGUUCAACGAGUUUAUGACCUUGCCCGAUAGGGUUGGGUAAUCUUUUUAAAUCGCAUCGUGAUGGGGAUAGAUUAUUGCAAUUAUUAAUCUUCAACGAGGAAUUCCUAGUAAGCGCGAGUCAUCAGCUCGUGCUGAUUACGUCCCUGCCCUUUGUACACACCGCCCGUCACUCCUACCGAUUGAGUGAUCCGGUGAAUAAUUCGGACUGCAGCAGUGUUCAGUUCCUGAACGUUGCAGCGGAAAGUUUAGUGAACCUUAUCACUUAGAGGAAGGAGAAGUCGUAACA
rnacentral:rRNA from 1 species